GCCAGGCAUGGUGGCACAUGCCUGUAAUCCCAGCUACUCAGGAGGCUGAGGCAGGAGAAUCACUUGAACCCAGGAGGCGGAGAUUGCAGUGAGCUGAGAUCGUGCCACUGCACUCUAGCCUGGGUGACAGAGUGAGAUUCUGACUCAA
ensembl:misc_RNA Metazoa_SRP Metazoan signal recognition particle RNA